GGGCUUGUCCAGGGCCAAUGGGAGCGGUACGGCAGGGCCCUUAAAGUUAGGUCAGUGUUUGUUUGUGCAGGCUGUCUUUGGACCCCAGAGGGCUUGUCUAAGGAGAAAUUAGAAUUGCACAGCAGUUAAUGUUGCCCUGUCUAUAUGGCUGACUUUGCUAACUCAUUUCUUUGCAGCAUCAGAGAGGCUGGAUGUAAAGCAGAGAUGAACAGAGGAGGCUGGAGGAGCACAGUCAGAAGAUGCAGAGCCCUCAGCCCAGCAGACGAUAGGCACCAGAGGGAAGGUGAGCCCGGUGAGCAAGGCAGUGCACAGACUUCUAACGUGCAGUCCAACGUGACAGGGACCCUGCCUGUAAGAGGAGAUGUAGGCAGCCUCAGAUGGCCGAAGCCAACUCACAGUGAGGUGCCAUCCAGCUAACCUUUGGGAGCCGAUGAGCAUUGGAGGUGA